UUUUAAUGAGAGUUUGAUCCUGGCUCAGGACGAACGCUGGCGGCGUGCCUAAUACAUGCAAGUAGAACGCUGAAGGAGGAGCUUGCUUCUCCGGAUGAGUUGCGAACGGGUGAGUAACGCGUAGGUAACCUGCCUGGUAGCGGGGGAUAACUAUUGGAAACGAUAGCUAAUACCGCAUAAGAGUAGAUGUUGCAUGACAUUUGCUUAAAAGGUGCAAUUGCAUCACUACCAGAUGGACCUGCGUUGUAUUAGCUAGUUGGUGAGGUAACGGCUCACCAAGGCAACGAUACAUAGCCGACCUGAGAGGGUGAUCGGCCACACUGGGACUGAGACACGGCCCAGACUCCUACGGGAGGCAGCAGUAGGGAAUCUUCGGCA
rnacentral:rRNA from 1 species